rnacentral:rRNA from 1 species
UACGUAGGUGGCAAGCGUUGUCCGGAAUUAUUGGGCGUAAAGCGCGCGCAGGCGGUUUCUUAAGUCUGAUGUGAAAGCCCACGGCUCAACCGUGGAGGGUCAUUGGAAACUGGGGAACUUGAGUGCAGAAGAGAAGAGCGGAAUUCCACGUGUAGCGGUGAAAUGCGUAGAGAUGUGGAGGAACACCAGUGGCGAAGGCGGCUCUUUGGUCUGUAACUGACGCUGGAGGCGCGAAAGCGUGGGGAGCAAACAGG